AACGAACGCUGGCGGCAUGCCUAACACAUGCAAGUCGAACGAGACCUUCGGGUCUAGUGGCGCACGGGUGCGUAACGCGUGGGAAUCUGCCCUUCGGUUGGGAAUAACUGAGAGAAAUUUCAGCUAAUACCUUAUAAUGUCUUCGGACCAAAGAUUUUAUCGCCGAGGGAUGAGCCCGCGUAGGAUUAGGUAGUUGGUGGGGUAAUGGCCUACCAAGCCGACGAUCCUUAGCUGGUCUGAGAGGAUGAUCAGCCACACUGGGACUGAGACACGGCCCAGACUCCUACGGGAGGCAGCAGUGGGGAAUAUUGGACAAUGGGCGAAAGCCUGAUCCAGCAAUGCCGCGUGAGUGAUGAAGGCCUUAGGGUUGUAAAGCUCUUUUACCCGGGAUGAUAAUGACAGUACCGGGAGAAUAAGCUCCGGCUAACUCCGUG
rnacentral:rRNA from 1 species